CUUACAAACAUCGUUGCUAGGUAACGUCAGCUACAUUUUCUCAUUUCCGUAGUUCAUUCAGUGACCUUCCCGGCAGCCAGUGCCAGCUCGUUUUAAUGGUUUUCUGACUAAAAAAAAAACUUUAUUUGUGAAAUUAUGGAGGAUUCUGCGUGGAUUUUUAUGCAAAGACUUGUAGAGAGGCAAGUGCACGAACAGUUUGACGUGCCGGUGCCGAGACAUUUAGCAAGAGAUGUGAGGAGGAUGCAGAUAUUAUUAAGGGAGCCACGUGCAAAUCAAAACAUAAUAGAAGCCGUCCGGAUCUGGUUGUGGCGCGUUUUGCCUAUGUUUCGUCAUCUUUUUAUGUGGUAGUGCCCUCGUUGGUUGCGGCUCUGGAAAAGUUCUGUGCCAGAGGGAAGAGGAACUCCGACGACCCUUUUAUUACACCUGACUGUCCUCUGCAAGACUUUUUUUUUUUUUUUUUCGUCUGACAUACUGCAGCUACAGUAUCACGUUGAGUUGCAGGAUGAUCUAAACCCCACCUCAGCGGAAGUAUUUUAUUGAGGAUCCUUACAAUAUGCACGUUUUCCUCUACUGAGCUGUAGAUGGUAUUUAAAAAAAAAAAAA